UACGGGGGGGGCAAGCGUUGUUCGGAAUUACUGGGCGUAAAGGGCUCGUAGGCGGCCAACUAAGUCAGACGUGAAAUCCCACAGCUUAACUGUGGAACUGCUUGGUAUACUGCCAGUCUUGAGCCACUUAGGGGCUACCGGAACAAAUGGUGGAGCGGUGAAAUGCGUAGAUAUCAUUUGGAACGCCAAUGGUGAAAACAGGUAGCUGGGAGUGUGCUGACGCUGAGACACGAAAGCCAGGGGAGCAAACGGG
rnacentral:rRNA from 1 species